GGGGACGUAACAAAGCGACCCAGGAAUGCUUGGGCGUGCCUCCACCCACGCCGGCGUCGGCGGGCGUAUUUCGCCUCACAGUAGGUCGCCGCGACCCGUUGCUUUUGGGGACGUCGAAGGCCCGGACGGAUUGGUACCCUACCGGCUGGGGAUGCGGCUUCGGCUUCUCCUCUUGUCCGGUGGGCGAAACCGCCGGUGUCCUGGCUGCCCUGCGACGGUCGUAGAGACGAGCCCUUCCCAUUCGUGGGGGGUGGCUCUCGCGGCGUGCAAAAGGUCGGUGAUCCACCCGACCCGUCUUGAAACACGGACCAAGGAGUCUAACAUGUGUGCGAGUCAGUGGGCGCACUAAACCCAGAGGCGUAAUGAAAGUGACACGGGUUCGGCUGUCGCCUCGUGUGGCAGCCGGACUCAGGGCCGAUCCCUCACCGGUUGGCCUCGCCUCUCUCUUCCGCGUCUCGGUAAGCCGGGUGAGCUAUUUUCCCCGGCCAAUGCUGCGGGGCGCGGGGGGAGGCGGGGUGCGAUGGUGUCCGUCAAAAAGAGCCUGCUGUUGCAGGGGGGCGCAGGCCCGGGACUUGCCAGGACGCCGCGAGACUGUCACUUUGCUGUGAGGCUCCAGGGCCGAUCAGCGGGUCAUGCGUGCAGUCGGCAAGUACCAUGAGCAGACAUGUUGGGACCCGAAAGAUGGUGAACUAUGCCUGGCCAGGAUGAAGCCAGAGGAAACUCUGGUGGAGGUCCGUAGCGAUUCUGACGUGCAAAUCGAUCGUCGGAGCUGGGUAUAGGGGCGA
rnacentral:rRNA from 1 species